rnacentral:rRNA from 1 species
AUUGAACGCUGGCGGCAGGCUUAACACAUGCAAGUCGAGCGAGCGGCGGACGGGUGAGUAAUGUCUGGGAAACUGCCUGAUGGAGGGGGAUAACUACUGGAAACGGUAGCUAAUACCGCAUACCAUCGGAUGUGCCCAGAUGGGAUUGGCUAGUAGGUGGGGUAAUGGCUAACCUAGGCGACGAUCCCUAGCUGGUCUGAGAGGAUGACCAGCCACACAGUAACUGAGACACGGUCCAUACUCCUACGGUAGGCAGCAGUGGGGAAGAUUGCACGAUGGGCGGAAGCCUGAGGCAGCCAUGCCGCGUGUAGGAAGAAGGCCUUCGGGUUGUAAAGCACUUUCAGCGAGGAGGCGUUACUCGCAGAAGAAGCACCGGCUAACUCCGAGACAGCAGCCGCGGUAAUUC